rnacentral:lncRNA from 1 species
AUUUUGAAGUUUGUGCUGUUAAUAGUUUCUCUUCUGUUAUAGCUUUAGUAUAUAUACUCCUAGAAUUCAUUAUAUGAAUAUGUAAAAAAUUAUCCAUUCUCUUGUCUAUGUAUAUUUAAUUUACAGUUUUUCAGUAUUUUGAAUAAUACACAUUCAGCUCACAUUUUCAAAAUUUUAGUUUUUUUUUUUUAGACUGAGUCUCACUUUGUCACCCAGGUUAGAGUGCAGAAGUGCGAUCACGGCUCACUGCAGCCUUGACCUCCCAGUAGUCAGAUGAUCCUUCCAUCCCGGCCUCCAGAGUAGCUGGGAUUACAGGGAGAAAACAAAGAAGAAAAUGUAAAGCUACAAACGACUAUUCAAAUGAUCUUGUAACCUACACCCAUUGGACAAAAGCAAAAUAAGACAUUCAUUAGGUCUUAGACUAUGAUCAUUAAAGUGUAAUAUAGUAGUUGAAAAGAAGAUAAUGUGGGAGGUAAGCUACAUAAGCUACAUUUAGUUUUAAAGGAAAAUUUUCUGUCUUGAAUGAAAACAUUCUCAUUUGUGCAUUAGCUGAAACUUUACAUUUUAUUCCAGGUAUGUAAAAAUAAAUAUAGCAAAACCAUUUAUUCUGUUUC